UGCGAGGGGGGCGAGCGUUGUUCGGAAUCACUGGGCGUAAAGAGUGCGUAGGCGGUUAUGAAAGUUAGGAGUGAAAGCCCCGGGCUCAACCUGGGAAUUGCUCUUAAUACUCCAUGACUUGAAUUCGGGAGAGGAUAGCGGAAUUGUCAGUGUAGCAGUGAAAUGCGUAGAUAUUGACAGGAACACCAGUGGCGUAAGCGGCUAUCUGGACCGACAUUGACGCUGAGGCACGAAAGCGUGGGGAUCAAACAGG
rnacentral:rRNA from 1 species